GACGAACGCUGGCGGCGUGCUUAACACAUGCAAGUCGAACGCUGAAGCUCAGCUUUUGUUGGGUGGAUGAGUGGCGAACGGGUGAGUAACACGUGAGUAACCUGCCCCCUUCUUUGGGAUAACGCCCGGAAACGGGUGCUAAUACUGGAUAUUCACUGGUCUUCGCAUGGGGGUUGGUGGAAAGGGUUUUUCUGGUGGGGGAUGGGCUCGCGGCCUAUCAGCUUGUUGGUGGGGUGAUGGCCUACCAAGGCUUUGACGGGUAGCCGGCCUGAGAGGGUGACCGGUCACAUUGGGACUGAGAUACGGCCCAGACUCCUACGGGAGGCAGCAGUGGGGAAUAUUGCACAAUGGGCGCAAGCCUGAUGCAGCGACGCCGCGUGAGGGAUGGAGGCCUUCGUGUUGUGAACCUCUUUCGCUCAUGGUCAAGCCGCAACAAUGGUUGUGGUGAGGGUAGUGGGUAAAGAAGCGCCGGCUAACUACGUG
rnacentral:rRNA from 1 species